rnacentral:rRNA from 1 species
AAAGGUUUCAAUACGAAUUACACACAGGUGUAUAUAGACAUAUUUUAGAGUGUAGAUUGUUUGGGCGAGAGUAGUAUUAGGAUGGGUGACCUCUUGAAAAGUUCUCGUGUUGCAUUCC